UACGAAGGGGGCUAGCGUUGCUCGGAAUUACUGGGCGUAAAGGGCGCGUAGGCGGCACUGUUAGUCAGGCGUGAAAUUCCUGGGCUCAACCUGGGGACUGCGCUUGAUACGGCAGAGCUUGAGGAUGGAAGAGGGUCGCGGAAUUCCCAGUGUAGAGGUGAAAUUCGUAGAUAAUGGGAAGAACACCGGUGGCGAAGGCGGCGACCUGGUCCAUUACUGACACUGAGGCGCGACAGCGUGGGGAGCAAACAGG
rnacentral:rRNA from 1 species